UUUUUUUUAGGUUUUUUUUUUUAAUUUUUAAAAUACAAAAAAAAUAAUAAACAAAAAAGAAGGACAAAAAAAAUAAUAAACAAAUUAAAUAUCAUAAUAUCUACAAUUAUUAUAAAUGCCCGGCUGUCCCACACCCUCGUCUUCGACGAUUUCUUCCGCGAUUUACUUGAGGGUCAUGUUGGUCUUCGUCAUUGUUAUCUGUAGCUGAUUGUAUUUGACUACCAUAACCCAAUGACAACGACACAUCGUGUUCCCUUGUUUGCCAUCCAAUAUCCAGAAAUUGUUCAUUGUUGUUGAACGAAGCCGGAGAGAAGUGAGAUAAUAGGUUUGUUGGUGUUGGUGGAUGGUUGUAGUUUUGGUUGGUGUACAUUGGGUAUUGUGGGCUGUUGUAGGGGGGGUAAUUGGUGUUGGACAGUCCAACUUGGUUUGGGUCAUUAUAGGAGAAGUAGUUGUUGUUGGAUG
rnacentral:lncRNA from 1 species